rnacentral:rRNA from 1 species
GGUUAAGCGACUAAGCGUACACGGUGGAUGCCCUGGCAGUCAGAGGCGAUGAAGGACGUGCUAAUCUGCGAUAAGCGCCGGUAAGGUGAUAUGAACCGUUAUAACCGGCGAUUUCCGAAUGGGGAAACCCAGUGUGAUUCGUCACACUAUCAUUAACUGAAUCCAUAGGUUAAUGAGGCGAACCGGGGGAACUGAAACAUCUAAGUACCCCGAGGAAAAGAAAUCAACCGAGAUUCCCCCAGUAGCGGCGAGCGAACGGGGAGGAGCCCAGAGCCUGAAUCAGCAUGUGUGUUAGUGGAAG